rnacentral:rRNA from 1 species
AUUAUGAAUUAUGUAAUAUUUAUUAUUAAAUGAAAUUUAGUAAAAGUAAUAUAUGAAUAAGCCAAUAAUCGAAUUUUGGCGCUAAGCGCACUCACGCGCGACAUUUCAGCGCACUAAUUUGCAUUGGGCGCACCACCCAUUACGCUGAGCGCAGACAAAACAGUGGCAAAAUGCUGAUUUCGCUGGUGUAUGCACUCAGUAUGGAAACAUGUGCUCAACGUGUCGAGUUUUGAUUAUUUCACCGAUCUGACCGUUAAUAUUUAAGAUCCAUCAAUUAGAAAGUUGGGUUAUGUUGCCCAACUGUGCACUAACCUAGACCCGCGAAGGGUGUUGGUUGAUUAAGACAGUAGGACGGUAGUCAUGAAAGUCGAAAACCGCCAAGGUGUGUGUAACAACUCAUAUGCCAAAUUAACUAGCCCCGGAAAUGGAUGGCGCUAAAGCGCGACCUAUACCCGACUGUUGGGGUAAAGUCUAGGCCCCGAUGAGUAGGAGGGCGUGGUGGUCGCUACAAACUUGGGGCGUGAGCCCGGGCGGAGCGGUUGUCGGUGUAGAUCUUGAUGGUAGUAGCAAAUAUUCAAAUGAGAACAUCAAAUGAUAUCA